GUCGCAUUGUCGAUUGGUAAACUCAUCACUUAAAUUGAAAUUCCGAGGCAAGCUCUCAUCGCUAAUGGCGGGCCGCAACUCCUCCUGGAGAUGCAUCGCACAGCGGAUUACAAAGGUGGUGAAGCACUCAAAUCAUGUCAUACGGAGUUUGUUCAUUUCUAUGAUGCGGCUUUCUU
rnacentral:sRNA from 1 species